CUUGGUCAUUUAGAGGAAGUAAAAGUCGUAACAAGGUUUCCGUAGGUGAACCUGCGGAAGGAUCAUUACAAGUGAGGCUACCGAACGUUGGAAACAGCGGUUAGGAGCUUACACCCACCCGUGUUUACAUACUAUUGUUGCUUUGGCGGGCCGUGGCCUCCACUGCGGGCUCUGCUCGUGUGUGCCCGCCAGAGAACCAAACUCUGAAUGUUAGUGAUGUCUGAGUACUAUCUAAUAGUUAAAACUUUCAACAACGGAUCUCUUGGUUCUGGCAUCGAUGAAGAACGCAGCGAAAUGCGAUAAGUAAUGUGAAUUGCAGAAUUCAGUGAAUCAUCGAAUCUUUGAACGCACAUUGCGCCCUGUGGUAUUCCGCAGGGCAUGCCUGUUCGAGCGUCAUUUAACCACUCACGCCUAGCGUGGUAUUGGGGCACGCGGUCUCCGCGGCCCUCAAAAUUAGUGGCGGCGCCGUCUGGCUCUAAGCGUAGUAAUUCUCUCGCUAUAGGGUCCAGGUGGUUACUUGUCAGAAUCCCCCACUUUUACAGGUUGACCUCGGAUCAGGUAGGGAUACUCGCUGAACUUAAGCAUAUCAAUAAGCGGAGGA
rnacentral:rRNA from 1 species